rnacentral:rRNA from 1 species
ACACGACUACAUUAGAUACCCGCGUAGUCCUAGCCGUAAACGAUACUCGCUAGGUGUCGGCCACGGUGCGACCGUUGUCGGUGCCGUAGGGAAGCCGUGAAGCGAGCCACCUGGGAAGUACGGCCGCAAGGCUGAAACUUAAGGAUUGGCGGGGAGCACCACAACGGGUGGAGCCUUGCGGUUUAAUUGGACUCAACGCCGGGAAGCUCACCGGAUAAGACAGCGGAAUGAUUGCCGGGCUGAAGACCCUGCAUGACCAGCUG